rnacentral:rRNA from 1 species
CCCUUAGAUGUUCUGGGCCGCACGCGCGCUACACUGACGAAGUCAGCGAGCAUGUCCCACGCCGACAGGUGCGGGGAAUCUUGUCAAACUUCGUCGUGAUGGGGAUUGAUUAUUGAAAUUCUUGAUCAUCAACGAGGAAUUCCUAGUAAGCGCAAGUCAGCAGCUUGCGUUGAUUACGUCCCUGCCCUUUGUACACACCGCCCGUCGCUACUACCGAUUGAAUGGUUUAGUGAGAUCUUCGGAUUGGCGCCACUGCGGCUCAGCAAUGGGCUCGGUGGAUGCCGAAAAGUUGAUCAAACUUGAUCAUUUAGAGGAAGUAAAAGUCGUAACA